rnacentral:rRNA from 1 species
AUGGGCAUAUAUGGCGAGCCGAGCUGGGAGCACAAGGAUCGGACUUACCGACACUUGCGUGAUCUUCAUGCCCAGUCAAGCUUGCCGUGGGCAGUGAUAGGCGAUUUCAAUGAGAUUUUAUACUCGUCGGAGAAGGAUGGAGGGGCUCCCCGGCACCAGAUGCGUCUCCAGGCAUUCCAGGACGCGUUGUCGGAUUGUUCAUUGGAGGAUAUUGGAUAUGAAGGGGACAGGUUUACUUGGUUUCGUGGUGGUCUGCGUGAAAGGCUUGAUAGAGCUGUGUCUAACGCUGCAUGGCUGCAACUUCACCCUUAUGCUGGCUUAUGUAGUCUAGAGAUGGGGAAAUCUGAUCAUCGACCCAUCCUGCUCAAUACUGAACAUUUAGCUGGGGUAGCAGAGAGCCAGCCAAGGCGUAAGAUGAAGUUCGAGGAGAGGUGGCUUGCUGAGGAAUCCGUCGAGGAAAUAGUUAAGACAGCUUGGCAGAAAGCUGUGCACCGCGGCCUCUGUCCUACUGCUCGGGAUAAGCUGAACUCAGUGCACCAAGAGUUGCAUGCAUGGGACCGUCGCGUCCUUAAGGGACCACGUGCUAGGCUCCGUAAGGCACAGAAGGAACUUGAGGCGCUGAUGUGA